rnacentral:rRNA from 1 species
UACGUAGGUGGCAAGCGUUGUCCGGAUUUACUGGGCGUAAAGCGCGUGUAGGCGGCCCGGAAAGUCGGAUGUGAAAGCCCUGGGCUUAACCUAGGAAGUGCAUUCGAAACUCCCGUGGCUUGAGUUCUGGAGAGGGAAGCGGAAUUCUCGGUGUAGAGGUGAAAUUCGUAGAUAUCGAGAGGAACACCGGUGGCGAAGGCGGCUUCCUGGACAGUGACUGACGCUGAGACGCGAAAGCGUGGGGAGCAAACAGG